AUCACAGAAACCCCACCUGAUGUGGUGGAAGUUGUCGAACCAGAUCAGAAAGCUUUCGAGGACCACCUUCAGGCACGGGCUGAGAAGGAUGUGGUGGUUUUUGACCAGGUCGGACUGAACAUCGACAAAGUGCAGGAGAAUCAGAAGGAGAGCAACUGGAGGAGAUUCAAGAAGGGGACAUCCGGGUAAAUGACUUGGUUUGGUAGAAGGACGAAAGGAAGGCGAGACCUGGGAAACCUCGCUGCUCUUUCGCUCCUAGCUGGGGUCACCAUCUGUUAAGGUGAAUAUAAACAUCUCAGAUAAUAACUAUUUGCAUUUGCACACAAAAUAACCUGAAGUUGUAGUUUCCCCAACACUGUUUUUUAUGUCUUCGUCUUCCUAGGGUUAACUCGGCGGAAGCCAGCAAUCUGCUCCAGUUGGAGUGGAUGGACGGUCGACCACUGAAAGCCCUGACGCCCUACACUUCGGCGAAGCCCAUGAGACAAAACAUGUUAAGCUUUGCUUGACAUUUGAGAAAGCUUAUAAAAAUGUCACUCCUUAAUUUACCUCUCCAAAUGACUUUAGGGCAAUCGAUUAUCAAUACCCAGGAGGUAUCUCAACCAACAGAGCCAUUUAGUUUGUGUCAGUCUGAUUCUCUGUGCUCUGAGUAGGCGGGGAACCAGCUUGAGGACCUAGGGGUUCUGCCUAACAACCAGACGUAGAUCCACCUGAUAUGCUUCAUUAUCUACCACUCUACACCUUUUCAUUACAUCUACAGCGACCGUUGUCAUUACCU